UCAAGGAGAACUCUCAAGCACGUUUCGUCUUUUGGAGGUCUGACCCCUACCCUACACAGAAGUCAAACAGUCCCAAAGCCUCUGGACUCAUUUGUGUGACCUUGAAAGCAUCUAUCUGAGAAGAGAACAGGAAGUAGAGGAUGCCAUGGCAACAGAUAACCGAAGCCAGCAUGGAAUGGAGCUAGUGGGCAGGGCUGCUCUCCGUGAAUACUUACCAGUAAGCCCACAAAUGGUCGGUCACCAUCUGUUCUGACUGGCUGAUGUCAAUGUUCUCCUACUCAUUGAACUGACAAUCUUGGUCUGAUACCUGUCGCCCAUUGCUCGAUGCCAGAAAGUUUCAUAGACUUCUUCUCCCGACUUGGCUCACCAUAGAGAGAAUGAGGAACCAGACUAAGAAGCAUCGAGUACCAUUUAAAUAUGCUGAAGGGUUGGAAACUUCAGCUGUGAGAGCAACCCCCAUCGCUGCUUAUGUUUAGGAGGGCCCAGAGAACAUUGCAGAAAAGGCAACAGAGGGACGAGGGAGCCGGAGGCUGGAGAAGAGUGCUGCGACACACUGCUGGAUGUGACGUAGCUGCUGCAAACACGAUCUUUCACAUGGAUCCAAGACUCACGGAUUAGACUGGGAUGGCGGGCCAGCAAGCUCCAGGGCUCCACCCGUCACACCGUCUCCUGCUCUGGGAUUACAAAGAUACCUGACUUUACAUUUGGAUGCUGGGGAUCAAACUCACAUCCUCAUGCUUACUCAGCAAGCACUGUACCAUCUGAGUGAUGGCCCCAGCCCCUCUUUCUUCGACCUUGGUUGAACCGAAAGGUUCUGGAAAUAUACCCAGAUUUGAAAGACUCAUCAGGUCGACCUCAUGCUAUACCCUUGGCCAUGGUGUGGAAGAAGUCUUAUCGGUAUUCAGUAUCCAAUUACUUUAUUUAACCUGGUGAGGGGAGAAGACCCACAGACAGCAUAGACCCCAGGUUGGAAAUUCCUUCAGCCUUGAGGCUCUAACUAGCUUUAGGAGACUCUCUGGGGUAGAGAAGUCCAGUGCUAGUCAAGCUUAUCCCAGACACUUCAACACCGUGUAUAGAUGACACCUUUCAUAAGCAAUAGCAACAGAUAACAGCCAUAGCAUCUUGGAUUUGUCCUCUCAGAUCUCUUCUCCACCCUUGCCAUCUGGCUGGGUGCAUGUCCUAGUUAGCUUUAAAACUGUCACCCUGACACAAUCUAGAGUCACCUGAGAAAGGAGUCUGGUUGGCCGGUGGACAUGUCUGUGAGGAUCAUCUUGAUUGUUAAUUAAUUGAUGGAGGGAGGCCCAGCCUACUGUGGGAAGCAUCAUUCCCUAGGUACAGUGGUCAUGAACUGUAUAAGAAAGUUAUCUAAGCGUGAAACUUUGAGUGAGCCAGCAAGCAGCGUUCCUACAUGGUUUCUGCUUCAAGUUAUUGCCCUGACUUCCCUCAAAGAUGGACUAUAACCUGUAACUCAAAUAAAUCCUUUUCUCCCCUCA